rnacentral:lncRNA from 1 species
GAGGACGAGGAUGAAGACUCCUACAGUGGCAGCAGCAGCAGCAGUGGCAGUGCGCGCAGGUUGGAGCAAGAGGGGGGCCAAGGGGCGCGCAAGCUAGGUGAGGAGACUCAGUUACCACCUCAAUUUACGGGUCAAUACAUUUGUGAUUGUAGCAGCGCAUGCAAGUUGAAGCAAGAGGGGGGCCAAGGGGCGCGCAAGCUAGGUGAGGAGGCUUGGUCACCGCCUCAAUAGAUGGCGGGUCGACAAAUUUGGUUGUAGCAGCGCACACAAUUUGGAGCAAGAGGGCGGCCAAGGGGCAUGCAAGCUUCGGUGAGAAGGCAUGUGGUCACUGCCUCGAUUGGUGGCGCCUUAACAAAUUAGUAGUAGCAGCGCACACAAGUUUGAGCAAGAGGGCGGCCAAGGGGCACGCGAGCUAGGUGAGAAGGCUCAAUUACCACCUCGAUUGGCAGGUUGACAAAUUGAAUUGUAGCAGCGUGCGCAAGUUGAAGCAAGAGAGGAGCCAAGGGGCGCGCAAGCUAGGUGAGAAGGCAUAUGGUCACUGCCUGGAGUGGUGGCAAGUCAACAAAUUUGGUUGUAGGAGUUGGAGCGAGAGGGCGGCCAAGGGACACGCAGGCUUAAGUGAGAAGGCAUAUGGUCACUGCCUCGGUGCUGCAGGGAUAGCGGGUCGCAAAAUUUGAUUGGUCAGAUGGUUUUGUGCUGCGGCUGGCACGGGGGUACUUUGUUUCUAUUAUCUCUCCUCUCCUCUUGUCGCGCAGCUAUGCUGCUAGGAAUGGAGUGCCAGCGUUGUGCCAUUUUUAUUUUCUCAUGCCAUUCCUGCUCCCCUCCUUCUCCCCCUCUUAUGCAGCCAUGCCGCUGGGAGUGGAGUACCAGCGUUGCGCCAAGCGCGCGCAGGAGCGCAAUGGGCAGAGGCGCAUCAACUCGCUGUCACAGCUGUCUGCGCCAGAUGGCAGG